GAUGAACGCUGGCGGCGUGCCUAAUACAUGCAAGUCGAGCGAACAGACGAGGAGCUUGCUCCUCUGACGUUAGCGGCGGACGGGUGAGUAACACGUGGAUAACCUACCUAUAAGACUGGGAUAACUUCGGGAAACCGGAGCUAAUACCGGGUAAUAUAUUGAACCGCAUGGUUCAAUAGUGAAAGACGGUUUUGCUGUCACUUAUAGAUGGAUCCGCGCCGCAUUAGCUAGUUGGUAAGGUAACGGCUUACCAAGGCAACUAUGCGUAGCCGACCUGAGAGGGUGAUCGGCCGCACUGGAACUGAGACACGGUCCAGACUCCUACGGGAGGCAGCAGUAGGGAAUCUUCCGCAAUGGGCGAAAGCCUGACGGAGCAACGCCGCGUGGGUGAUGAAGGUCUUCGGAUCGUAAAACUCUGUUAUUAGGGAAGAACAAAUGUGUAAGUAACUAUGCACGUCUUGACGGUACCUAAUCAGAAAGCCACGGCUAACUACGUG
rnacentral:rRNA from 1 species